UGGGGAAUAUUGCACAAUGGGCGCAAGCCUGAUGCAGCUAUGCCGCGUGUGUGAAGAAGGUCUUCGGGUUGUAAAGUACUCUCAGCGGGGAGGAAGGCGUUAAGGUUAAUAACCUUGGCGAUUGACGUUACCCGCAGAAGAAGCACCGGCUAACUCCGCGCCAGCAGCCGCGGUAAUACGGAGGGUGCAAGCGUUAAUCGGAAUUACUGGGCGUAAAGCGUACGCAGGCGGUCUGUCAAGUCGGAUGUGAAAUCCCCGGGCUCAACCUGGGAACUGCAUUGGAAACUGGCAGGCUAGGGUCUUGUAGAGGGGGGUAGAAUUCCAGGUGUAGCGGUGAAAUGCGUAGAGAUCUGGAGGAAUACCGGUAGCGAAGGCGGCCCCCUGGACAAAGACUGACGCUCAGGUGCGAAAGCGUGGGGAGCAAACAGG
rnacentral:rRNA from 1 species